AUUGAACGCUGGCGGCAGGCUUAACACAUGCAAGUCGAGCGAGUGGCGGACGGGUGAGUAAUGUAUGGGGAUCUGCCUGAUGGAGGGGGAUAACUACGGGAAACUGUAGCUAAUACCGCGUACCAUAGGAUGAACCCAGAUGGGAUUAGCUUGUUGGUGAGGUAAAGGCUCACCAAGGCGACGAUCCCUAGCUGGUCUGAGAGGAUGACCAGCCACACUGGGACUGAGACACGGCCCAGACUCCUACGGGAGGCAGCAGUGGGGAAUAUUGCACAAUGGGCGCAAGCCUGAUGCAGCCAUGCCGCGUGUAUGAAUAAGGCCUUCGGGUUGUAAAGUACUUUCAGCGGGGAGGCGUUACCCACAGAAGAAGCACCGGCUAACUCCGUGCCAGCAGCCGCGGUAAUUC
rnacentral:rRNA from 1 species